GCCGGGCUUUUUGUCUCGGGGCUUUGUCGAUAUUGCUCUUUAGCCGAGCUGCGCCUUUAAAUAACGAUGUGGUGCCUUCUAGAAACUGUGUCCAAUACCUUUUGUACCCUCGCAGGAGGGCUUCGAGCUCAGGUUUUUCCAUUGCCGAGUUAACUGCAGGUCCGAGCUGACAGCGUCCCGUGCAUGUGGUGUGCGUGAAUCUGUUUGUGAUGUUCAUUUCCUCUGGAUGCAGAGCUGGGCUUUUUGGGCAGACUGUAUUUCUCAAGCCUCGGGGGCCAAAUAUGAGUGGCAAAACAACGUUGGCAUGGAACUGCUGGAGGAGAGGAGUUUCGGGUGGGCUCCCAGUGGCAUCUGAUGGAGCAACGGUGAGAGCAUCUCAUAGGGUCUGGGGGAGCACGUGGAUGCACCUGGACGUGGAGCACUGCUUAAAGGAGGUGGUGAGGGACAAAGCUUUCUGCCAGGAAGCAGCACCUGAACAGCUGAGCCAGUGUGGAUUUGCAGGGGUGAUCUUUCUCCUUUUCCCUUUUGAUUUCAUUUUGGCAGUCCUUCCUCAGUGCCCUCAAUCUGUCACAAGAAUUCCAAAAAUAAAAAGGCUGAGUGAACAGUGAAAAGAAGGGGUAUAGGUAAGGUGGAGUUCAGGUGUACCCCACCCCAAACACUAAACAGCAGCCCUAACAGCGCUCCCAUUUCCCUGAGGCAGCUGCAGGCAGGAACCCUAAAGCAGGAGAGUGCCAGAACCCCCGAGAGGUGCAGGCAGUUCCCUGGUGCUAGGGCCAGCCAGGAAGAGAUAGUGGGGGGACGAUCCGCAGGGUUGGGGAAACAGGGGGNNNNNNNNNNNNNNNNNNNNGUCCCUCCGCAGCCAGGGCUUGCUCCCAGCCCUCCUCGAGGCAGCGGUUGGUAAGGCUUCGUGCCUGGCCUCCGCAAAGAGUUCGGCUCUGUCAGCCUCUGCCCUGUCUCAGGGCCAAACUUAGGUAGGGUAGGGAGCAACUGUGGAUUGCCUGGUCCGGGCUAAGGGACAUCUCUUGGGGCCUAUGGAUAAGAAGCAUCCCCGGUUGCAAGCGUAGGGUUGUAAGUUUGUAGGGUUCAGCGGGGCAGCUUGGCAGUGACACGGAGAGGCUGAGGGAGGGCUUCAGAGGACAAAAGCUUGAGGGCUGGAGGCAAACAGUGAAAAUAAAAGAGGUACAGGUUGGGAUAUAAGGUAGAGU
rnacentral:lncRNA from 1 species